UUGCUCUGUGGGAUCAGUGGCGAACGGGUGAGUAACACGUGAGCAACCUGCCCCUGACUCUGGGAUAAGCGCUGGAAACGGCGUCUAAUACUGGAUAUGUGACGUGAUCGCAUGGUCUGCGUCUGGAAAGAAUUUCGGUUGGGGAUGGGCUCGCGGCCUAUCAGCUUGUUGGUGAGGUAAUGGCUCACCAAGGCGUCGACGGGUAGCCGGCCUGAGAGGGUGACCGGCCACACUGGGACUGAGACACGGCCCAGACUCCUACGGGAGGCAGCAGUGGGGAAUAUUGCACAAUGGGCGCAAGCCUGAUGCAGCAACGCCGCGUGAGGGAUGACGGCCUUCGGGUUGUAAACCUCUUUUAGCAGGGAAGAAGCGAAAGUGACGGUACCUGCAGAAAAAGCGCCGGCUAACUACGUGCCAGCAGCCGCGGUAAUACGUAGGGCGCAAGCGUUAUCCGGAAUUAUUGGGCGUAAAGAGCUCGUAGGCGGUUUGUCGCGUCUGCUGUGAAAUCCGGAGGCUCAACCUCCGGCCUGCAGUGGGUACCGGCAGACUAUAGUGCGGG
rnacentral:rRNA from 1 species